CAAAGGAAGCGAUUCCGGCGGGGGAUGGGCAUGCGGCGCAUUAGCUAGUCGGCGGGGUAACGGCCCACCGAGGCGACGAUGCGUAGGGGUUCUGAGAGGAAGGUCCCCCACACUGGUACUGAGACACGGACCAGACUCCUACGGGAGGCAGCAGUGAGGAAUAUUGGUCAAUGGGCGUAAGCCUGAACCAGCCAAGUCGCGUGAGGGAAGACGGUCCUACGGAUUGUAAACCUCUUUUGCCGGGGAGCAACGGGGUCCUUGCGAGGGCCCUAUGAGAGUACCCGGAGAAAAAGCAUCGGCUAACUCCGUGCCAGCAGCCGCGGUAAUACGGAGGAUGCGAGCGUUGUCCGGAUUUAUUGGGUUUAAAGGGUGCGUAGGCGGGCUGUUAAGUCAGCGGUCAAAUGUCGGGGCUCAACCCCGGCCUGCCGUUGAAACUGGCGGCCUCGAGUGGGCGAGAAGUAUGCGGAAUGCGUGGUGUAGCGGUGAAAUGCAUAGAUAUCACGCAGAACUCCGAUUGCGAAGGCAGCAUACCGGCGCCCUACUGACGCUGAGGCACGAAAGCGUGGGUAUCGAACAGGAUUAGAUACCCUGGUAGUCCACGCAGUAAACGAUGAAUGCUAGCUGUCCGGGACUUCGGUUCUGG
rnacentral:rRNA from 1 species